rnacentral:rRNA from 1 species
AUUGAACGCUGGCGGCAUGCCUUACACAUGCCAGUCGAACGGCAGCACGGGUGCUUGCACCUGGUGGCGAGUGGCGAACGGGUGAGUAAUACAUCGGAACAUGUCCUGUAGUGGGGGAUAGCCCGGCGAAAGCCGGAUUAAUACCGCAUACGAUCUACGGAUGAAAGCGGGGGACCUUCGGGCCUCGCGCUAUAGGGUUGGGCGAUGGCUGAUUAGCUAGUUGGUGGGGUAAAGGCCUACCAAGGCGACGAUCAGUAGCUGGUCUGAGAGGACGACCAGCCACACUGGGACUGAGACACGGCCCAGACUCCUACGGGAGGCAGCAGUGGGGAAUUUUGGACAAUGGGCGAAAGCCUGAUCCAGCAAUGCCGCGUGUGUGAAGAAGGCCUUCGGGUUGUAAAGCACUUUUGUCCGGAAAGAAAUCCUUGGCCCUAAUACGGUCGGGGGAUGACGGUACCGGAAGAAUAAGCACCGGCUAACUACGUG